AGCACUUUAUACUGUGAAACUGCGAAUGGCUCAUUAAAUCAGUUAUCGUUUAUUUGAUAGUACCUUACUACAUGGAUACCUGUGGUAAUUCUAGAGCUAAUACAUGCUAAAAACCCCGACUUCGGAAAGGGGUGUAUUUAUUAGAUAAAAAACCAAUGCCCUUCGGGGCUCCUUGGUGAUUCAUAAUAACUUAACGAAUCGCAUGGCCUUGCGCCGGCGAUGGUUCAUUCAAAUUUCUGCCCUAUCAACUUUCGAUGGUAGGAUAGUGGCCUACCAUGGUGGCAACGGGUAACGGGGAAUUAGGGUUCGAUUCCGGAGAGGGAGCCUG
rnacentral:rRNA from 1 species